rnacentral:lncRNA from 1 species
GUGCAAAAGACUAGUUCUCUUCUCCUACAUCCUACCUAAUCAUUUGCUAUAAAUAGAGACUCUUGCACUCAUUAUUAUUCAUUUAGAACACUGACGGUUCAAGACAAAGGUCAAACAUUAGAGCUUCAAGGCAAGAUUUCUUCCUUCUCUUGUUCUCUCUAGGGUAUAUUUUUGUAAUAUUUUAUUAUAAUGUAUGUUGCCAUGAGCAACUAAACCUCUUGAUAAGGGUUCCAAGAUGAACCCAUUCAUUCUUAUUUGUUGGAUAUUAUUAAUAAAGUUUUCAUUCAGUUUAUGUUUUUGUUGUGCCCGAUUUAAAUUAGAUCAUGCAUGUUCAUAAUGCUUUUUUCAAUUGGUUAAUUUAAUUGUAAUCUUGAAGAAUGAUCUGUAGGAUAAAAGCAGCCAUUGACAACCCAAAAUUAUAUCAGUUCCAUUGCCUUUUCUAAUUACCAUUUCUUUUAGAGAUUAAGAAAUUCGGGUUUGAAUUCCGGUAGUUUAAAACCCCCUUCUUUGGACAACGUCGUACAUAACCUAGGUUAGUCCAACAAUAGUUGUUGUGAGAAGCUUGAUAAGUGCUCAAAAGUAACAUAUUUCAUGUGUUAACUUAGGAAAAUUAGUGACUUGUUUUGCAAGUUAUCUAAGGAAAAGCUACCAUUUGAGUGUAAUAUUACCAUUUAUGCUUUACAUGCCUGAUUCUACCCAAUUUAUGCAGGAAAUGACAAGCAAGGACCAAAAGAAGGAAGCUCCUGAACCAAGGUCUGUUCGCUUAAGCGAACCAGUUACAGAGAGCAACCGUUCUAUUCGCUUACAAGCACGCCUUCAGUUCGCUCAUGAAAGCUUCCUGAGAAUUUCAUCCGCUUGUUUCAUUAAAUCAUAAGUAGCACACAUAACUGUUUAUUUCUUAAAGUUUAAUUCCAACAAAGAGGAAGCAGGGAUUCAAAGGAUUCCCUACUCACCAUUAAUUAUCUCAACGAGAAACCUAAUCUUGCAUUUGGUAGGGUAAUUCAACCUUGCAACUCAUUUCAAUUUUACUCUACUUUCACCCUUUAAAAUAAGUUUUAUUAAUUACUGAAGUGAAUGACAAUUCCUCUGAAGAACGAUAAACUUGCUACUUUAUUACUUGUUACGAUUUGGUGCACUUGUCAAUUUCAUCCAUCAAUUACUAAUUUGAAGAAUGAUUUGAAAGUGCUCUCAUAUGCGGACACAUUAACAAGGACGAGUAAACUAGGGAUGGCGAGCAAAACUCUUCAAGGUAUGAAGGAAUCUAGGAAAGCAUCGGUAGAAGCUAACAUAGAGGCUUUGGAGCAACUUGCAGAGGUACGACAUUAGAUGGAUCUGCUGGAUCUCAGAUGCAAUCCUCAGAGGCAGUUUCCUGCUACAAUACCACCAACAAUUGUUGAUGUUGUCCCAUAGAUCAAUGAGUUUUUUCCAUUGGAUAAGAAUUCUUACUAUGUAUUGCUUGCUCUUGAACAUCUGAUCAUCAAUAAAGUUGUUUUGUAACCAUCUUCUUCAUUGUCUGCAUAUGAUUUUGAGGCUUUUAAAGAAAAUAUCAUAAUUGAGUUGGCUGCUCAAAG